rnacentral:rRNA from 1 species
AACAGGAUUAGAUACCCUGGUAGUCCACGCCCUAAACGAUGUCAACUAGUUGUUGGGGAUUCAUUUCCUUAGUAACGUAGCUAACGCGUGAAGUUGACCGCCUGGGGAGUACGGUCGCAAGAUUAAAACUCAAAGGAAUUGACGGGGACCCGCACAAGCGGUGGAUGAUGUGGAUUAAUUCGAUGCAACGCGAAAAACCUUACCUACCCUUGACAUGUACGGAAGUCCGCUGAGAGGUGGAUGUGCUCGAAAGAGAACCGUAACACAGGUGCUGCAUGGCUGUCGUCAGCUCGUGUCGUGAGAUGUUGGGUUAAGUCCCGCAACGAGCGCAACCCUUGUCCUUAGUUGCUACGCAAGAGCACUCUAAGGAGACUGCCGGUGACAAACCGGAGGAAGGUGGGGAUGACGUCAAGUCCUCAUGGCCCUUAUGGGUAGGGCUUCACACGUCAUACAAUGGUCGGUACAGAGGGCUGCCAAACCGCGAGGUGGAGCUAACCCCAGAAAACCGAUCGUAGUCCGGAUCGCAGUCUGCAACUCGACUGCGUGAAGCUGGAAUCGCUAGUAAUCGCGGAUCAGCAUGUCGCGGUGAAUACGUUCCCGGGUCUUGUACACACCGCCCGUCACACCAUGGGAGAGGGUUUUGCCAGAAGUAGGUAGCCUAACCGUAAGGAGGGCGCUUACCACGGCAGGAUUCAUGACUGGGGUGAAGUCGUAACAAGGUAACC